rnacentral:lncRNA from 1 species
AGGCCUUCUGCUUCAACCUCUGAAGUGCUGGAAUUAUAGCUCUAGGAGAAAAGUGGAUUAUGCAAACAGAUACUUCACCCAGAUUGGUGGCCCUCAGUGACUCCUUGUGCUGAUGCCCUUGCUGGGAGAGGAAGCCAAGGCCCAGGAAAGAAGACGAGAAAAGAGGCAUUUUCUGACCAGAGCAGAUCACAUUCUGGGUCCUGCUUCAUGGCCUGGAAAGGGAACCUACAGAGCUGUGAUGUUGGAAGCAGCUGCAGGAGUCCCUAUCCCCACCCAUCAGCCGUUGCUGCUCAUUGGCCUGUGCUUGGACACUCUACUGCACAAAGAGAGGGCCCAGAACUCCCAUCGGGAACUGAUGUGUGCCAGCCAUGAGCAGUGAGGGAAAGGUAAAUUGCCCAUCAGCCACCAUAUACCCAUAUUUUUCCCAUAAAAAACGUUUGCUGGAAAGGAUAUAUAUCAAGUCAAUAGAGACAGGAAAUCACUCCAGCCAUAAACUCUAAUCCUAGUGAGGUAGAUCAGAGGAGGCUGACAUUAUGUUUGACUUUCAGAUAAGGAAUGUCUAGCCCAGUGGGCCCUAAGGACCUCUUCUGGAGGAGGCAAACAGAACUGUCGUCUCCUCCUCCUCUUCCUCCUCCUCCCUUUGCCCCCCUCCACCUCUUCUCCCUCCCCCUCCUUGUUUUCCUUUUUUUUUUUUUUUUUUUUUUUUUUUGAGUCAAGGUAUUGCUCUGUAGCCUAGGUUGGCCUCAAACUCAAGAUGCUCCUGCCUCAGCCUCCUGCAUGCUGGGAUUACAGGUGUGUGAUACCUACUCCUGCCAAAAGGAAUUGUUUCUGAGACUUCCUGUUCUCAUAGAUAGCAAACUGGUUAUGCAGAUGCUUGAGUGUUGGAGGCAGGAAAUAGAGCGGUAGUGAAAUCCCACAAGCCAACUUAACACUUGAUGUCUAAUUCAGGAUAAAGACUGAUUGCCUGGGCUACCUGAGGGAAUCCCCCGAG